rnacentral:tRNA from 1 species
GGUAAAAUGGCUGAGUAAAGCAUUAGACUGUAAAUCUAAGUACAGAGGUGGAAUUCCUCUUUUUAUCAA